rnacentral:rRNA from 1 species
CACUCCUACGGGAGGCAGCAGUGGGGAAUUUUGGACAAUGGGCGAAAGCCUGAUCCAGCAAUGCCGCGUGAGUGAAGAAGGCCUUCGGGUUGUAAAGCUCUUUUGUCAGGGAAGAAACGGUGAAAGCUAAUAUCUUUUGCUAAUGACGGUACCUGAAGAAUAAGCACCGGCUAACUACGUGCCAGCAGCCGCGGUAAUACGUAGGGUGCAAGCGUUAAUCGGAAUUACUGGGCGUAAAGCGUGCGCAGGCGGUUUUGUAAGUCUGAUGUGAAAUCCCCGGGCUCAACCUGGGAAUUGCAUUGGAGACUGCAAGGCUAGAAUCUGGCAGAGGGGGGUAGAAUUCCACGUGUAGCAGUGAAAUGCGUAGAUAUGUGGAGGAACACCGAUGGCGAAGGCAGCCCCCUGGGUCAAGAUUGACGCUCAUGCACGAAAGCGUGGGGAGCAAACAGGAUUAGAUACCCGAGUAAUCC